rnacentral:rRNA from 1 species
GACAGAGGGGGCAAGCGUUGUUCGGAAUUACUGGGCGUAAAGGGCGCGUAGGCGGCCUUCUAAGUCGGAUGUGAAAUCCCCGGGCUCAACCCGGGGACUGCGUCCGAUACUGGAAGGCUUGAAUCCGGGAGAGGGAUGUGGAAUUCCAGGUGUAGCGGUGAAAUGCGUAGAUAUCUGGAGGAACACCGGUGGCGAAGGCGACAUCCUGGACCGGUAUUGACGCUGAGGCGCGAAAGCCAGGGGAGCAAACGGG